GCGAUGAAGAAGAGGAGAAUGUCAUGCCUGCAAUUCACGAGCAGCAAGUUGAGCGGAGCGGCAACGUUGAGUGGUGCACCUGUGGUCGUUGUCGUCCGAUGGAAACAAACCGUGAAUCGGUGUGCUGCCGCGAAAUUUCGGAGGUGGCAGCCCGUCUGCCGGAAGGGGACAAGUGUAUAACUGACCACCCCACUUUUGUGCACCCGUGCCUCAAUGUUCAUGCUUUAGAGGUCGCAUAAUACACCUUGAGAGAGGACCGACCUUCGCUAGUCAACGCACCUGAUAUCCACACGAGAUACAGGUACACCGCCUACAGACAGUUCGUCCGCUGGAUAUGGAUUUGGCUGGGCCGUCGUAAUCGCAGAGUAUUGCCCAGCUGCGUCGUCAGUGAAAUAAGAAAUGCAUUUCCAUCAGCACGCUAUGCAGGAUUCAGAUACCCCGAAUAAUAGUCAAGUUGUCCGUUUUGCCACAAAUAAAUGCAUAAUAAAUGUACUUUA